CAGGAACUGGCAGAUCCGAGAGAGACCCUGGUGGCUUGCAGGGGUGCCGGGCGAGGCUGUGCUGACCGGGGACGCCGGGGAAGUGCUGAGCUUGCUGUUCUGAAAUCAGUCCUGGGAAGAGCAGCCAGAUGACUCCCGGGACUCGCACUGGUGGGACCCUGACAGACUGAAGGAACUGGACCUUUUUGGUCUUGAACAGAGAAGAAGAGAAGACAACAAGUAUUCAAAAUCCUCGAGGACACAAAUGGAAACGGUGUGGAAGUUCACUUAAUAUCUGAAAAACAGGAGGCACAUCUUUGCCCUGAGGGUUGUGGGAGUGCAGAAUAAGCUACACAGCCAUGUGGCUGUAGGCGAUACUUCUUUGCUCCCUUCAAGAAACAGCUGGAUGAGAUCUCUGGAUCCAUUAACUACCAAGUACCAGAUGGGCUGGCAGAGCUGACCGGCCCCCUUCCAUUCAUAACCUUUUGUACAUUCUGGACCUCGGAGGGGUUCUGCUAUUGCUCAUCCUGUACUGGAGCUCAUUUGGAUCAAAGGCCAUCUCAUCAAACAACUGUAGUCAGGAAUCUCCAGACCUGGUAGUGCAGUAAUGGCUAUAUACAGUACGACUUUAGCAACAAAAACAAUGUCUGCACCCAUUCUUUUCGGAAGAAGGGAUGACAACAGCCCGGUUUAAUCAGACUCAGCUGUCAUUAAUUUGCACUCACAGCUGUCGUCAUUUCCUCUCCAAAAACACUGCAAAUACUGUAGGUGAUCCCCCUUCUCUCCCUCCCACACGUCUUUUUCAAUCCCAUCUCCACUUCUACAGCCCUCUCGGCCUUUUGCCCAAGAUCGUGUGGGGAGUGUCAUGUGUGUCUCCCCCUCUGCAGCUGCCCCCAGGUCACUCCUCACUCUGCAGGGGGUCCCAGCCUCCUCCUCCUCCUCCUGCUGCUCUGGCCAGGAGGUCUGCCCUCAGCCAAGCGGGUUAAGCCAGAUUUCGACUGAAACAUUCCGUAAUCCUUUCAGAACGCUUCAUUCUUGGGUGUUGUUAUUUCUAGUAAAUUGGCCACUGCUUUCACCAGUGUAGCGGGGUAGUCUGCACCCUCUGAACACAGCUGGGUAACAGCCCUUCCCCAGUUUAGACCGUCACAUUAAGCAUAAAAGAAGGCAUUCAAUGGAAAACUGAAUGUAUCCAAUGAAUAAAAUCACUGGUGGGGACUACAUUAUUAUUAUUUUUUUUUUUUAAUGGGUCAGAAAAAUCUAAAACAUUCUGAACAGGUGAACGUGCAUUUGCGAACAUAUCAAAUCAAACAGAAACAGAACUGAAACAAUAAAAAACAAAUGCAAAAUUAAUAAAAAUGAUUUUUUGUGUCA